rnacentral:rRNA from 1 species
ACGGGAGGCAGCAGUGAGGAAUAUUGGUCAAUGGGCGCAAGCCUGAACCAGCCAAGUAGCGUGAGGGCAGACUGCCCUACGGGUUGUAAACCUCUUUUGUCCAGGAAUAAAAAACGCCUCGUGAGGCGUCUUGCAGGUACUGGUUGAAUAAGGACCGGCUAAUUCCGUGCCAGCAGCCGCGGUAAUACGGAAGGUCCGAGCGUUAUCCGGAUUUAUUGGGUUUAAAGGGUGCGUAGGCGGGAUGCCAAGUCAGUCGUAAAAUCGUCGAGCUCAACUCGAUCUCGCGUUUGAAACUGGCGUCCUUGAGUACACUAGAGGGCGAUGGAAUUCGUGGUGUAGCGGUGAAAUGCAUAGAUAUCACGAAGAACUCCGAUUGCGUAGGCAGUCGCCUAGGGUGCCACUGACGCUGAGGCACGAAGGUGUGGGAAUCAAACAGGAUUAGAUACCCUGGUA